rnacentral:rRNA from 1 species
UACGUAGGGUGCGAGCGUUAAUCGGAAUUACUGGGCGUAAAGCGUGCGCAGGCGGUUUUGCAAGCCGGAUGUGAAAUCCCCGGGCUCAACCUGGGAAUGGCAUUCGGGACUGCAAGGCUGGAGUGCGGCAGAGGAGACUGGAAUUCCUGGUGUAGCAGUGAAAUGCGUAGAUAUCAGGAGGAAUACCGAUGGCGAAGGCAGGUCUCUGGGCUGACAUUGACGCUCAUGCACGAAAGCGUGGGGAGCAAACAGG